rnacentral:tRNA from 1 species
GGUCUCAUAGUCUAAUGGCAAGGACGCCGGCCUUUCACGCCGGAGAUACCGGGUUCGAGUCCCGUUGGGAUCA